ACCUACGGGGCGCAGCAGUAGGGAAUCUUCCACAAUGGGCGAAAGCCUGAUGGAGCAACGCCGCGUGGGUGAAGAAGGUCUUCGGAUCGUAAAACCCUGUUGUUAGAGAAGAAAGUGCGUGAGAGUAACUGUUCACGUUUCGACUGUAUCUAACCAGAAAGCCACGGCUAACUACGUGCCAGCAGCCGCGGUAAUACGUAGGUGGCAAGCGUUAUCCGGAUUUAUUGGGCGUAAAGGGAACGCAGGUGGUCUUUUAAGUCUGAUGCGAAAGCCUUCGGCUUAACCGGAGUAGUGCAUUGGAAACU
rnacentral:rRNA from 1 species